rnacentral:rRNA from 1 species
CCUACGGGGGGCAGCAGUGAGGAAUAUUGGUCAAUGGGCGGAAGCCUGAACCAGCCAAGUCGCGUGAGGGAUUAAGGCCCUGCGGGUCGUAAACCUCUUUUGCCGGGGAGCAGUGGUCCGGACGAGUCCGGGCCGGGAGAGUACCCGGAGAAAAAGCAUCGGCUAACUCCGUGCCAGCAGCCGCGGUAAUACGGAGGAUGCGAGCGUUAUCCGGAUUUAUUGGGUUUAAAGGGUGCGUAGGUGGUUAAUUAAGUCAGCGGGGAAAGUUUGUGGCUCAACCAUAAAAUUGCCGUUGAAACUGGUUGACUUGAGUAUAUUUGAGGUAGGCGGAAUGCGUGGUGUAGCGGUGAAAUGCAUAGAUAUCACGCAGAACUCCGAUUGCGAAGGCAGCUUACUAAACUAUAACUGACACUGAAGCACGAAAGCGUGGGGAUCAAACAGGAUUAGAUACCCUAGUAGUC